GAAAUACUAAAUCUCUCAGCAAAUAUAAUGGACAUUUCCAGUCCAUGGAAAAAGAGCAUGACAGAGUUGAACCAGCCUCUACUGGGAACAGGAGCCAACAGUAGAUCUAAAGUGGAGCCUCUGAUUUCUCACUGCCAUUCACUGAAUGCAUUCAGGAGCUAACCUGACUAGCAUGGUUUAGCUAACACACUUCAAGUGUCCCAACGGUCUCUGGAUAGAUAUAUCAAACUGUAGAUUUGAUAGAUUAGACUAAAUACUUUACUUUGUUUAUCCUGCACAAAGAUACUGUACGUAUAUUUCAUCUCUGCUGUCUGACCAGGUUUCAGUUCACAGAUAACUGGGGGCCAGAUUUAGCUUUUGAGUUCAGGUACUCACCGUCCACUGUCCAUCGAGUGAGAUCAUCAGAUUAAAGCUGAGAUUCCACAG